ACAUAGGCACCAAGCGUUGUCCGGAUUUAUUGGGCGUAAAGAGCUCGUAGGCGGUUCGGUAAGUCGGGUGUGAAAACUUUGGGCUCAACCCAAAGCCUGCAUCCGAUACUGCUGUGACUAGAGUUCGGUAGGGGAGCGGGGAAUUCCUAGUGUAGCGGUGAAAUGCGCAGAUAUUAGGAGGAACACCGGUGGCGAAGGCGCCGCUCUGGGCCGAUACUGACGCUGAGGAGCGAAAGCGUGGGUAGCAAACAGGAUUAGAUACCCUGGUAGUCCACGCCGUAAACGUUGGGCACUAGGUGUGGGUUCCAACCAACGGAAUCCGCGCCGUCGCUAACGCAUUAAGUGCCCCGCCUGGGGAGUACGAUCGCAAGAUUA
rnacentral:rRNA from 1 species